rnacentral:rRNA from 1 species
AUUGAACGCUGGCGGCAUGCUUUACACAUGCAAGUCGAACGGUAACAGGGUGCUUGCACCGCUGACGAGUGGCGAACGGGUGAGUAAUGCGUCGGAACGUGCCGAGUAGUGGGGGAUAACGCAGCGAAAGUUGUGCUAAUACCGAAUACGUACUGAGGUAGAAAGUGGGGGACCUUCGGGCCUCACGCUAUUCGAGCGGCCGACGUCUGAUUAGCUAUUAGGUGAGGUAAAGGCUCACCUAGGCGACGAUCAGUAGCGGGUCUGAGAGGAUGAUCCGCCACACUGGGACUGAGACACGGCCCAGACUCCUACGGGAGGCAGCAGUGGGGAAUUUUGGACAAUGGGCGAAAGCCUGAUCCUGCCAUGCCGCGUGUCUGAAGAAGGCCUUCGGGUUGUAAAGGACUUUUGUCAGGGAGGAAAUCCCUAGUGCUAAUAACACUGGGGGAUGACAGUACCUGAAGAAUAAGCACCGGCUAACUACGUGCCAGCAGCCGCAGUAA